rnacentral:tmRNA from 1 species
GGGGGUGUUCCGGAUUCGACUGGCAUGGUAAGAUUUAGGUAGCAUGUCGAGGAUGAUCGUUGGCCUCGUUAAUCAUCGGUUAAAAAUAUAUUUGCGAAAUCUGAUUUUGCAAUGGCCGCUUAAUAGCGCCACGUGUUUACCCUGAUUGGGUGCUAAGGGAUAAAUGCGUCAGGAACACCCUGGCAAACGAAAUUGAUUACGAGUUAGUUUGCGAGAUAAAAAUCGUGAUUAGUCCGAAGAGUCGCCCGGCCGGGUGGCAAACUUGGAGGACGAAAAGCAAUAAGACCUGGAUAAACAUGUAGAAGCUUAAGUUAUACGGUGUCAACACGGGAGUUCAAAUCUCCCCACCUCCACCA